rnacentral:rRNA from 1 species
UACGAAGGGGGCUAGCGUUGCUCGGAAUUACUGGGCGUAAAGCGCACGUAGGCGGGUUUUUAAGUCGGGGGUGAAAUCCUGGAGCUCAACUCCUGAACUGCCUUCGAAACUGAAGAUCUUGAGUUCGGGAGAGGUGAGUGGAACUGCGAGUGUAGAGGUGAAAUUCGUAGAUAUUCGCAAGAACACCAGUGGCGAAGGCGGCUCACUGGCCCGAUACUGACGCUGAGGUGCGAAAGCGUGGGGGGCAAACAGG